CAUUAAAAAAUAAAUCAUGUUUUUUCAACUUCAGCAGAAUAUUGACAAAGUUUUGUGCACAUUUGUAAUGGAAAUGCAGCCAAUAACAAAAAUGUAGCAAGGUUAUAUACGACCAAAUUGUAAACUAUUAUUGCAGAUUAAAUACUAAAUUAAACAAACAUUCUGUUGAACAAAAAAUGUUCACACUGAAAGUAUAACACACUAUUUAAAGCUUGAGCAAAUCAUGAAGUAAUCAUGGGACUUUUCAAAGCUUAAACUUAAGUUUAAGUUAAGUUUCUAUUUAAACAGGUCUGGAGAUUCAAAGAUACCAAUUAUGUGAAAAUUCUGAAUUAGCGAAAUCCAAAAAAGCAAUUGUUGCAGAUGCAUAAUCAUGUGCUAUAUAAUGUCUGAUGACACUUUCACCAGUAUUGCAACAUCUCAGGCAGUUGCAGCUCUCUGCACUUAUCAAGCAUAUUUUUACUCAGAUAUAAUUUUACCAAGAGUUCAUGCAUGUGACAAGUCAUGUUGACAGUUUUGAAAGUGGAUAAAACUCCGAAGCUGCCAAAGGUCACAUAUUGUUGCUUAGUGAAUAUGUUGAGCUGAAUGAAGAAGACAGAGUAGAUGUUCUCAAGAAAAAUACUUUUGCUUCCUGCUUCCUUGUGAAGAAACCAUUCAGGUUUGACAACAGAGAUCCACCCAGGAUGGAUUCCUCCCUGCUGAGUCUCAGAGUCUUUAACCACAACGCAUUCUCAAACGCUUAAAACGGGGAAAACACAGAGCUCACUUUUUCCAGUUUGCCAUGCUGCUUAGAUUAUAUUUCUCUACAUGUUAGAAAGGUGAAACAAAAACUGGACUGGGCAGAAUGGGAGGCUCAACCUGGUGACAAGUGGUAGAGCUUGUUUGUGUCUCACGCCUUCUUCAACAAUAAACGCCUUCACCGAAGGCAACUCAACAGUCUGUAAACAUCUUCCACCUCAUUAAUUCUCCUUUUAUUAGUCUCCAUGUGAUGUAUGUGAACGCACACACUGUUUUCUUUAUAUUGCUGAAAGUACCUGUAAGUCACAGGACAGUAAUAAUGGCUUGGGUUGCACAAUUAUCACCUCAUGAAGAAGGGAAAAAAAAAAGCAAAAACAGGAUUUUGUUUGACGAAGUGAUUACAUGUAGAGAAUGAGACGAUUGUCUGGAAAUAUACCAAACAUGUAGACGUUUGGUUUUUUUCCAAAACCUGCUGAGAUAAGGUGGAAUUUUGCCUGACGUCUCGUCCGAUUAUGAUUUCACAGCAGCAGAAAUUAUUUUACUAAACCAGUCGCAUAUAGAGCUGAAUUACUGCAGAGCCUGAAAACACAAAAAACAUUUUCUAUUGCAUCAUAUCUGGGAUUAAAGGUCAUGAAGCACCUUAAAAAUAGACCAUAUUCCAACAGAUAGUAUGAUUAUUGCAUCGUUCGUUCAGUGUCUGUGUAUAUAUGAAGUACAAAUGGUCAAAUUUCCCAUGGAUGCGAGUCUUUAAAUAGCAUUUUGAAAUGUCCAUGAUUGCUGGAAUGUUGUUUAUUCAGGUUCACCGGCAUUCCUCAACCAAACAACACACAAUGAACACAGCAGCUUACGAAGGCCUCCGACUUCUGGCUGGUUGUAAAACAGGUAGUGAUUUCCAAACACAUUUAUUUAGCAGAUAAAACGUGUCAUUAUCAAACUGGUUGCACAUGUGAUAAAAAGUGGAUUAAGAACAGAAAAUGCUGAAUACAUAUGACAGAGACUGUAGAUUUGUUCAUGGAAAUAUCACUUUGAUUGGAAGAUAUCUGAAUAUCACCAUGGCAACUGAUCUUUUAGUGCAAUAAAGAUGAGAGGUGAAUACUGGCUCACAUAGAAAACAAACAAAAUUGUGACUUUUUCCACUAAACUUGGACAUUUCUUAGUUGGAGCUGAGAAAUUUUGUCAUUUUUUUCUCUAGAAAAUUUCUGAGUUUUUCUAGCAAUUUUUCAACUUUUCAACCUCAGAAAUUCUCACUUUUUUCUAGAAUUACCGAAAAAAAGGCACGUGAUAAAAAUAUUCCUAGAAAUUAUUUCGGGGAACAUUUUUCGAAAAAAGUGAAAUUUUUGAGAUUGAAAAGUUGAAAGAAAUUUCAGAAAUGUUACUAAAAAAUGAAUAACAUGUCUGAACUCCAACUAAGAAACUAAGAAAUUUCCAGUUAAUUCUAGAAAAUAUUCUAGAAAUAUUUUGUAAUACUUCUAAAAUUAUUCCAUAAACCUCAAAAUUUCUGUUUUUCUAGUAAACCUUGACUUUUCUAGAAUUAUUUCUAGAAAUAUUUCUAGAUACAUUUCAAGAAAUAUUCCAGAAAUAUUUCUUGAAUAAUUCUAGAAAUAUUCCAGGAAUAUUUCUAUUCCAGAAAUCUCAACAUUUCUGUUUUUCCAGCAAUUUUUUGAGUUUUCAAACUCAGACAUUUCCAGGUUUUUUCCUCAAAACUUUCUGAGAUCAGUUACAAAAUGUAGGUGGAAAUGUUUCUUUGCGGCCCUAGAACGCCGUUGUAAAAAAGAAUAGGUCGUUGUUGAAAAAUGAACAACUUAUUUAGAUCUAGACAUAAUGUCUGUUAGGCAACCAGUGCAUCAGGAAACUGUAGUUUAGUGCCAAUAAAACAAAUAUAUAUAGCUCCUUUUGUUUAUUUUUCACAGUUUAGGGGUAAAACAUCAAUAAUGUUGUGAAGCAAAACAGUCCCAGAAUCCCAUCACACUAGGAAAAAGCAAUGACCCAUUCCCCUCUGGGUGUGUGUCAGUGUGUGUUAUAAGAACUGUGGAGCUCCAUGCGGGUCUCCUCUGCCCUCGGUGUUUAGACGUGUUUUUACUGUAAUCAGUGGGAAACAGAGGGAUAGCAUCUAACCUCGACCUCAGCAAAACGCUGCCAAACAUUAUGACCACGCUGCUAUUUGAUGGCAGAUUCUGGAUCCCCCCCCUCAGGGAGAAACUGGUAACCCCCCCAAAAAAG